rnacentral:hammerhead_ribozyme from 1 species
AUCCAACUGACGAGUCCCGGAUGAAAUGAAACGCGCGUCCCGGAU